GACCUCUCAGACACAACACCAGCACCAUGGCCACUCCUACAGCCUUAAAACUCUCUCCAUUUUUAUGCCUCCCACCACACUCUGCUUUCUCCUUCCCGCUCUGACUGUCCCUUCUCUGUUCCCUUCCUGGCCUCCCAAGCACCUCAGCCAGGCCCUUAGGCACCAGUGUCCUCAGGGGUCUUCAGGGCUCCUCUUCGCAUCCCGGUCUACCUGCUCUGCUUUCAAGUUUGCAGGCUCUCUCAAGUUUUACCUAAAGGUUUUCCUAAAGACUCACUCUGUCACCCAGGCUGGAGUGCAGUGGCAUGAUCUCAGCUCACCGCAACCUCCGCCUCCCGGGUUCAAACAAUUCUUGUGCCUCAGCCUCCCGAGUAGCUGGGAUUACAGGCACAAUCCAGACAAGACAUCCCAGCACUGCUUCCAGACCUCUGCUUGAAGGUGGGAUUCUUAGUCUCCUGGACAUUCUUAGAGUCUGGCUUUACACCAGGUCUCCUUUGCACAAUGGCAACACCAGCAGUAUCUGCCCAUGUGUAAGAGAGCCUCUGCAACAGCCCAAUGGAGAAAUGGAGGAGUUUCCAGGCCCACGUAACACUCAGUCACAAUUGUCUCUUACCACUUGGGAUGACGAUGCAAUCACUUUUCUCCAAUUUUUUUUUUUUUUUUUUUUUUGAGGCAGCCUCACUGUCACCCAGGCUGGAGUGUAGUGGCGUGAUCUUGGCUUAUUGAAACCUCCACCUCCCGGGUUCAAGUGAUUCUCCUGCCUCAGCCUCCUGAGUAGCUGGGAUCAUGCCUACUGUAUCUCCAGCCUACAGAGAUGGAAUCUUGCUCUGUCACCCAGGCUGGAGUGCAGUGGUGUGAUCUCAGCUCACUGCAACCUCUGCCUCCCCAGUUCCAGGUUCAAGCAAUUCUCCAGCCUCAGCCUCCCGAGUAGCUGGGAUUACAGGCCAUAGUCUGCUUCAAAAAUAAUAAUAAUAAUAAUAAAAGACAAUAGUGAACAAG
rnacentral:antisense_RNA from 1 species